UUUCAAGCACAAAGAAAAUUUAUACUAUCACUCCUAGCUGCAUCUGCCUUGAUUGUUGGACAGUAUGGCCGCGACUAUCACGAUAUCUGCUGAUCAUCGCCCCCCGCCAUAUUACAUGGCCUCUCUCAACAUUGGGUCAUUGGGAACAUGGGCCAUUUGAAGUAAUCCCAGAGCGAACCGGGAUUAAUCUUUAAAUGGCCAGAUCGCCCGCCAGACUCAUCCCGCUGCUGCAGCUAUCGCCCUAUCGACCUAACCUAUCGAUAACGUCGCUCCCACUCGACUCCAAUUCCAACAUCAACCAAAGAUUUCGAGGGGCGCUGCCCAGAGUUUCAGCAGAACGAUGAAAUAAUUGGUAGCUUUGGAGAUACGAUGGGAUUCAACACGGCACUGAUACCAUCCUGCAGUUCGAUCGACGCCUAUCGCGGGGCCCACGCAUGACGGGAAGUAUUGCACAUGUGAUCGCGAUGCUCGUAUACUUUGAUUUGUCCUUCUUUCAGGUCACAACCGGAUGUCUUUGGCAUGAUACACUCCCAGACUGCGGCCUUGGAGAUCCUCCAGCAAGUAUGCAUUGCUGCCGACGGAUUUGAUCACCCUGGCUUUAAGGAACUUGCGAGCAAACUUGGCGUUAAAAGAUUUGCUGAAAUCACUCAGCACGAAGUUGCGGCGGAAGACUUCUUGGCCUGGCUUGGCGAGCAGCGUACGGGCUAGCUUAUCGUAGCGCUGCCGGCUCGUCUGGUAUGCACCCUCCAGUUGCUUCUGCACCUUGACGUGGAUAACCCGAAGCUUGUCCUUGGUCUGCAUUCCGGCCAUUUCAUGGUCGACCAGAGACCUGAGUCGUCUGGCUAGUUUGUAGCUGGAACCGUUGAGGAACAUGUGAUGGCCGAAUACAGUGAAGAACGGCGCUUCCCCUGUGGUUGAGUGGACAGUGUUUCGGAUGGCCACCUAAAUCUCCGGCAAAUGUGCAUCCCAUUCCCGGUGAUCUUCGUCCAAGAAGCUGCGAAUUGCGGCCAAGACGUUCCGGCUUACCCUCUCCGCGGCAUUGCUCUGUGGCACCCCGAACUUGUAAAAUACCUCGUUUACCAGGAAAUUUACAAAGUUCGACGCCGUCGCCUCCUUCAUCGCCUUUAAGAAGGUGUACUUCGAGAAGUGGUCCACCACGAUAAAUAUCCAGGCGUGUCCACUCUUGGACCUCGGAUACUUGCCCAAGAAAUCGAUGUACAGUUUCUGGAAUGGCCUCUGCGUCUCUACCCUUCUUCCGAUUCCGACCUGCAUCCGGAAGUUUGGCGCUUUGGAUUCCUUGCACACCUCGCAACCCCGGACGUAUGCCCGUACCUGGAUGGUCAUCCCUGGCCAAUAGAACUGGCGUCGCAGGAUCUCCAAGGUGUUCGUCAUCCCACCAUGGCCAGCCUUGGGGUCCGAAUGAGCACGCUCUACCAAGCUGUGCGUCAGGCUUUGCGGGAUCCACAGCUUCCAUUCGGAUCCCUUCAGUUCCUCGUCCAUUUUCGGAUUCUUCAUGCGCUUGAAGAUUAGUCCGCCGUCCACUUUGAGGUCCGCAAAUUCGGUCGUCUCGAAUCCCAGUACCC